rnacentral:rRNA from 1 species
GAUGAACGCUAGCGGCAGGCUUAACACAUGCAAGUCGAGGGGCAGCGGUAUGUAGCAAUACAUAGCCGGCGACCGGCGCAAGGGUGCGUAACGCGUGAGCAACAUGCCCGUCACAGGAGGAUAAUCCAUGGAAACGUGGUCUAAUACUCCAUAGUAUCGGAGUGAGGCAUCUCAUUCUGAUUAAAGCUUCGGUGGUGACGGAUUGGCUCGCGUGACAUUAGCUAGAUGGAGAGGUAACGGCUCACCAUGGCUACGAUCAGUAGGGGUUCUGAGAGGAAGGUCCCCCACAUUGGAACUGAGACACGGUCCAAACUCCUACGGGAGGCAGCAGUGAGGAAUAUUGGUCAAUGGACGAGAGUCUGAACCAGCCAAGUAGCGUGAAGGAUGACUGCCUAUGGGUUGUAAACUUCUUUUGUUUGGGAAUAAAGCUCGGGACGUGUCCCGUUUGUAUGUACCAUUCGAUAAGCAUCGGCUAAUUCCG